rnacentral:misc_RNA from 1 species
UACGUAGGGGGCAAGCGUUGUCCGGAAUUAUUGGGCGUAAAGCGCGCGCAGGCGGUCCUGUAAGUCUGAUGUGAAAUCUUGCGGCUUAACCGCAAGCGGUCAUUGGAAACUGGGGAACUGGAGAACUGAAGAGGAGAGUGGAAUUCCACGUGUAGCGGUGAAAUGCGUAGAGAUCUGGAGGAACACCAGUGGCGAAGGCGACUCUCUGGUCUGUAACUGACGCUGAGGCGCGAAAGCGUGGGGAGCGAACAGG